CAACAGGCACGUACGGUACGUACGGCGAGCGCCAGCUUGGCUCGGUCGGCAGGGCGAGGUCCGCCAGGCUCUAACUACGCAGUUCGGCAGCCAUUGCUUCGAACUGUCCUUGUCCGCAGCCCCCCAGACCGUCGCGUGGCCCCCACCUCGCCAUGCCUCCGCCUCGUCGGCUUCUAGAACCGCAGCAGCUCCCGAGAAGCAGGCCUGGAGGCCUUUCGGGGAGCAGCGAAGGCCCAUCUGCUGCCCGAUCUGUGAGCCCCUCGUCUUCCACCACCACACCUUUGCACAAGCUGUCUCACAUGCUGGAGUGGGGUGUGAGCAUGAUAAUGGGAGAGUUUCCUGUUGGCCUUUGCAUAUGUGGAGCCUAGAACAGCCUCUGGCAUGUGCACCUAGAAGAUCCUUCCUAAAUUCCUACAGAAUGAAUGCUUGACUCGAAGGACAUGAGUCUAGGAACGGUGACAGUAGAAGAAGCCAUGAACCUGGAGAGGAGAAUCUCUGCUUUGGAGCCCUGCCCUUGCAUCAGCUCCCAUGGAUCCAGUGGUCUCAGGGCUGAUUUGCCUCAAAUACCAGAUCUUCUGUCAUGACCUCCAGGCAAAUCCAAGGGUCUUUCCUCAGCCCUCAACCUUCCUGACCUCCCUGCAGCCUUGGUUAUUAUCCAUCACCCUGAACCUCUCUCCUAACACCUAGUCUUAGAUCUCCAGCUGUCUGUUGGACAUCAAAAACUAUGUGUCCUCUCAAUGUCUUAAACUCAACAUGUCCAAAAUCCCACUCAUCUCUUUCCUCUCCAAACCCCCUGCUCUUCCCAGCUUUACUGUACUGUUGAGGCUACCACCAUCCCACCGGCAACCUAGGUAUCCUCCUCAGCUCCUCCCUUUCUCUCAUUCUCCAUAGCCAGUACUUUGACAUCUCUUCCCUAUUAUACCUCCAUUUCCCUGGUAUCGAGGCUUUUGCCACUUCUCAGCCCAACUCUUGCCUUAGCUGGCUACUUGGUCUCCCUGAUUCAAGUCUCUCCUCACUCUGGUCCUUCCUCUACCUUUCUGUAAAAGUUAUCUUCCUAAAGUGUUGAUUUGACCACAUCAUCCCUCUAUUCAGUAAACUUCAAUGACUUCCUGUCCCCUCCACAGACAUUGAAGGGCAUCCAAAGCCCUCCAAAACCUAGCCUUCUCCUACCUUUGCAGUGUUCUUAAACCUCACUCUAAUAUCCAGUGACAUUGGAUUUCUUCUUGUUCCUUGCACCAGACAUUCCCAUCUCCUGAUUCCUGGCACUCUCCCUGGCUGUCCUCCAUGCCUAGAACACAGAACACUUUCCUUCCCUAUUCCCAUCUCCUGGCUUCCUCAGUUUCCUUCAAGUCCUAGCUAAAACCCCACUUUCAAAAGGAAGCUUUCCCAGUUUCCCUUAAUGCUAGAACCUUUCCUUUGUUAAUUACUUUGCCUGUCUUAUUCUCAUAUUGCUUCCUGAAUUAGAAUUCUGAGUUCCUAGACAGCAGGACUUGAUUUUUUUGUUUUUGGACUGUCUUUGCAUCUGGGAUCCCAUGGUGAGACUAAGGCUGGAUAUACAGAUUUAGAAGGCAUAUUUCUAUAGAUAUGAAAACUAAACCCUUAGGAAUUGAUGAGAAUGCCAAGGGAGGGAGAAGAUGGACCAGGAGAGAGUUCAGUUGAAGCCACUUGCUUCUGGCUGAAGCCAUAAAUUCAGGGUUCUUAACUUACUGUUGGCAGUCUGGUGAAGUGUGCAGGCCCCUUUUCACGCUGUAUUUAAAUACAUAUGAUGAAUAUAUAAAAGUCCAAAGAAAAUCAAAUGUCUUGGAAGAUUUCCUUGGUAUCUGCAGGUAGACUGUCGGGUGGUGGUAGGAAAACGCAAUACUGUCAUGAAGGAGAAAAGAGAAGGUGAGGUGCAAGCCACAGCUAACUUUAUUGUGAAGCAGGCACAGAGCAAGGUGAAAUCCAAGAUGGUGGCAGAGGAGCAGCAGCACUGUUGGCCCGGAAUGGGUGGGAUGGAAAGGUCACUUCCCUAAAGAAAAAUCAACACUGGUUAUUUUAUUGGCAGCUAGGUGAUAGCUGUGGAGAAAGGAGAACUGCGGUUCAAGUCUGGCCUCAGGCACUUGACACAUGCUACCUGUGUGACCUUAGCACUACUGAAGAGAAAAUCCAGAGACUGGAUCUGGAACUUCAGUGGUGUGGGACAACUGCCAAAGCAGGUCAGAAUCUUCCUAAGAGGAUUGGAGGUAGGAGGAGAAGGAUUCUUUGGUAUAUGUGAACUUGCCUUUUUUAAUUUUUGAGUCCUUCAAAAUCAUGGACUAGCUAUUCACCUCUGAAAAUCUGGGUUGUUUUAUUUCAGUAGUCAAUAAAGUAUUCUAUAUCAUCUUCUAAAUAUUAAUGAAGACAGAUACUAUAUUAGACUAGAGAAAAGAAAACUGACAACAAAUGGCUAUCUCCAUUUGAGGAUCAUUUUUUAAAAUAUAUAAAUGUGAAUCUGUAUUCUUUCAAUUUAAGUCCUGAUCCUUUUUCUUCUUUGUUCUAUUUGUAAAGCAAAUGAUAUCUGUUGAAAGUCUCCUAUGAAAUAAUAAUCUGCCAUUUCAGAGAAGCUCAAGAAUUGGAUCUAAAAUAUAAUCCUUUCUUAUUCAGUUCUCAUUUUGAUAGUUUGAAGCCCAAAACUGAUAUUCAAUUGUAUUUCUUAGAAUGAUGGAAUGUUAGGGAAAGAACCCUAGAGAUCAUGUGCCUCAACACACACAUUAUAUAAAUAAGGAAACAACUUCAGGUAAGUGCAGUGACAUGUCUAAGUUGACAAAAUCACAUACCAUACUUUAUUGAGUCAUUCACCAACUGGAAACUUAAUUUCCAAUUUUUUUUUUGCCAUGAGAAGAGAUCUGCUAUGGAUAUUUUUGGUACAUACAGGCCAUUUUCCUUUUUUUUUUUUUUUUUUUUUUAAUCUCUUGGUAUUAAUGCCUAGUAGUGGUGUUACUAGGUCAAAGGAUAUGCAUGAAUGCAUAGCCCUUUGGGCUCGUAUCAUACUUUUUGAUCUUUUACCAAUAGGGCAUGGCUCUUAUUUUUUAUAAAUUUGACUCAUAUGAACUUGCAUUUUUUUUUUUUUUUUUAGUCAAGCUUUUUAUUUUCAAAAUAUGCACGGAUAGUUUUCAACAUUCACCCUUAGAAAACCUUGUGCUCCAAAUUUUUUCCCUCCCUCCUCCCCUAGAUAGCAAGUAAUCCAAUAUAGGUUAAACAUCAAAUGAACUUUAAAAAAAAAAAAAAAUUAGACAACUAUUUACCAAUAUGAUUGACUCUAAUCCUGUGUAAUUUAUUCUAUGUAACCCAUUAAGCGUAAUUCUGAGGAAGGGGACCAUAGGCUUCACAAAAAAGGUUGUCACCCCUCCUUUUAAAAAGUCAGCUAGAGCACUGAAAUGGUUAAAUGACUUGGCCAUGGGAGCACUAGGUGGCACAGAGGAUAGAACACCAGCCCUAAAGUCAGGAGGACCUAGUUCAAAUCUGGCCUCAGACACGUAACUUGGCAAAUUACUUGCCUCAGCAAAAAAGAAAAAAAAAAAAACCGAUUCCAUCGCCCUCACAUUGAACCUGGGCCCUGCUGACAUUUAGAGCGCUGUAGCCCACGGCCCCCAGGGAAGGUCAAGGCUAAAUAAACUUCCAGACGGGACUUUAGGUGUCAGAAAUGGGGCCAAAGGCCGCGCCUCCGGACGGCCCCGGGCCCGCGGAUCGAAGCUUUACCUUCCGAGCCACGCGUUUUCGCGCGCCCCUUCCCGCCCCCCCCCCCCGAAUCUCUGGAUUGGGGGUUUUGGGAAAGUUUCGUAGUCCCGCACCCCCAUACGCAAAAAGAAAAAGGCAAACCGCGCGCGCCUCUUGCCUCUUCCUCAGUGUCUUCGCUGCCGGCGCGCUGGUGACGUCACGCGUGCGCCGUCGCCCAGCCAGUGACGUCGGCGCCCUGCGCCGACCUCCAGUUUUGUACUUCGCCGCGCGCUUCAGCGUGCUUUUUAACAGAAGACUCUUCAGGUUCUGCGAGUUUUUUUGCCCAACCCACCUGUUUCAAGUUCAUAAAAGUGCUCUGGUAAAUAUUGGGGGUACUACAACUAAAACCACUUUCAAUACGUGUGUGUGUGUUUUCUUCUAGUGCCACAGGUUCAUGAACCUAAUGUUCAGCAUGUGUAGGCCCCCAGAUGCUGUGCUUGGUGCUGGGGAAAGGAAGAGGAGAGGAGACACCUCAAUGAAGUUGUAGUCUUCGGGGCUAUAGGGGUAGGUCAUUUAUACAGAUAAAAGUAAAACAAAGGCGGAGAGUGGGGGAAGACGGAGAGAGAGUGAGUGAGGGAAGUACAGGAGAAUUCUUUUCUCCGAGUACUUCAGGAAAACACAGCAAGAAGAAAACUCUGCUGGGAAGGUUACAUUAUAGGCCUUUGAGGAAGAGAAGGGAUUUAAAGAGCAGGGAAGAAAGAAUAUUCUGGUAGUUUGCUCAGCCUUUUACAUAUGUCAGACUGGAGAAUGUCACCAUGGGGAGUCAUCAAAGACUUAAGAAGGGGAAAGACAUGCUUAGACUUUUAUUAUAGGGAUGUGAUUUUUCCAGAGGUGUAUGGCAUGGUACAGAUUAGCAGCACAGACUAUUGAGGAGACGAUUGCAGUCCUGUUGAACUAGGGUGGGGUUUUUGGGAGUCACAUAACAGACUGGUGGGAGAGAUAUUUUGGAAGUACCAUAAGACUUGGCACCUGAUUAGAUGUGGGGGCUAAAGGAGAAGGAAGAUAGUUUUUUUAAAUGUACACUGUAGGCAGGGGAUUCAAAAAAUAAAUUUGGAAAAGUUAUCUCAGAUAGUGGUUUACUUUUGUGUAAAACUGAACCUCGUCAACCCUGCUUUUCUCCUGACUGUGCCUCAAGGUUCUUCAGGACUGCCUCACUAAGCUUCCCCUUCCCCCUUUUCAACUCCCUUUUUUGUGUUGUCUUCCCUUUAUUAGAACAUAAGCCCCUUAAGGGCAGAGAGUUUUUUUUGGUUUAUUUUUGUAUUUCUAAGUACUUAACACAGUGGUCAGGUACAUUGUAAGAGCCAGUAAUUCUUGACUGC
ensembl:lncRNA